rnacentral:lncRNA from 1 species
UUUCCCCAUGAUGGUACGGCCCAAACGAAACCAUGUGUGGCAUGUACGCUUCCUUAUGGACAUCUUUAAUGAAGUUUGGUAUUUUGUAAAUCGAAGGUUUGAUGGUUUUUCCUGAUGAUCCCAACUUCUCCACAGCUACUGAUUUCAUCAGCAGUUUCUUCAGAUUGUCUUUGACUUCAACUACCACGGCAUUGUCCAUUAUUGGUAAUUGAUCUUUAUGAUCAGUUGAUCUGCAAUAGAUGGGCAGCAGCAUCUGAUUCUCUUCCGCCUCCGCCAUAUUUUAUUUCUCCUAAACUUUGCUCACCCAAACUUUAAUUUGCACAUUCAUUCUGCAAAGCCUCAUGUGGUUAUAUACACACACAGUUAUACUAUACUUGUUUGGGGUUUGAAUGACAGCUCAACUCAAAAGUGCUUAUACCCCAAGUUUACUUCCAUUUUGUAUAAAGUGAAAUUGAAAAUAUUAUUUUUAUUUAAGGGGUAUUGUUUUCCUAGAUAAUAUAAAAAAUUAUGUUAAUAUAACAAAAUAUUUUCGUCUAUCAUCUUUUUUUGUAUGAAAAUCGAUCUAUAGAUAGAAUUAAAACGAUAGAAUUAAAACAAAAGUAUUAAGAUCACAACUAAAUUCUUUAGAAAGUUAAAAGAAGUUUGUUUAAUAGACAAUAAUAUUUGAAAAAAGAUAUUCAAAUUCUUUUCUUACACGUGUAUUUGAUUGUAGAUUGGAAAGUUAGGUCUUAAUUUAAAAAAUGAUUUGAAAUGUUUUGCUUUUUAUAAAACAUAAUUAAAAACUAUAAAAAUUAGUUAGAGUUACUUACUAAAUAUUAUUAUAUUAACUAUUAAUUUUCAUAAUUAAUAAUGUAUGAAUAAGUUUAUGGUAAAAUAAUUAAUUUUUUACAAUAUCAUAUAAAUUUAUAAUAAAUAAUAAUAUGUUAUUUCUAAAUAUAACAAAAUGAAAAAAAUAUAUGAAUGGUGAUAGAACAAACUAUCAUAUCUAUCAUAUAAUAAAGAAGUUUUCAACACUAAUGUCCUCAGAUGUUUCAUCAUUACUUUGGAGAGUGGUAACUUUGUGGUGUUGAUGGAGCACUGGAGGGAGGUGUUGAGGUAUGUGUUUCCAUUGAGGAUUCAACACAGUUUGACGUUCUCCCCCAUUUGUCAAUUCAUUAUUUUGCCAAUCCCAACUAGCAUUCUCAUCAAACACUACAAUUUUAUAUGUCUAAAAUAAGUCUAUAUGCUUUGGAUUGAGUACAAUAACCAACAAAAAUGCAUUUUUCACAUUUUUUAUCAAGUUUUUGACCAACUUCAGAGGGUACCAAACCAUAAGAAAUACAACCAAAAACUCUUAAAUAACUUACAUUCGGUUUAUCAAUGUCACUCAUAGAAGCAUUUCAGUGUCUAUCAAUAUUUAUUAUUAGUAGAAUUUAAAAUUUUUGUUAUAGGUUAUAAAUAUCUAGUCAAUUUUUUUUUAUUUUUUUGAUAAUUUUCAUAUAUUAUAUUUUAUUACUUAAGUUAUUUUUAUAUAUAGCAAAAUGUUAAAAUAUUUAUAAAAUAUAACAAAAUAUAGUUUAUCUUGAUUUAUAUUUUGCUAUACUUGCUAAAUAUUUUACAAAAAGAAAUACAUUAUAUUUUGUUUAACAAAAUUGAGAUAGAAAAUAUUAAUAUUUAUUAAAAGAUUUUGUCAUUUUCAGAAGUGAUAAGUUAGAUGGAAGAAAUAUAUAAAAAGGAAUAAAAGGAUAGAUUGUGUAAACUACUAAAGUGAAUUGGAUUAAUGACAGGGGUAUCAUUCUAAUCUUAGGAUGAAUAAUAUAUAUAUAUAUAUAUAUAUAUAUAUAUAUAUAUAUAUCUAAUUAUUUUAAACAGUUUUCUUAUUUACGAUCAUUAUAACUUUUAAAGAAAAUUAAAACCAAAUUUUAGUAUGGAUUAUUUUUUUUAAAAUGACUAAGUAAGAACAAAAUGUUGGUCAUUACUUAGGACUCAAAGUUAUUAUCUAAAAAAAUCGAGUUAUCUUUUCUGAGUUAAAAGUGAUUGUAUUAUUCACUUAAUUUAUUGUAACGAAGUACAUUCGAAUAAUUGAAAUAAAAACAACUGUUCAAUAGUUAUAAUAUAAUCUUAAAUUGUUGAUUGAUCCAUGAAAGUAAAUUUAAUUAAAUUCUCAUUUCUAGGUUUUGAUAUUUUUCAUUUUCAUUCCGCACUCAAUUCUCCAUUUCAUUUUCGAAUGCUUCUCAAAUUCCUAGCCAGUAAUUCUAUUUCAUCCCACAUAGCCAAAAAUUGUAGUGGGUCACUUAAUUUUAAGAUUAGUAUAAGAUCAAAACCACAUUCAAUACCCACAAUAAAUGGUCUCACUCAUUAAAACAUUUGUGUGUUUCAGAACAUAAAUAUGUAUUUCUAUACAUUACAGUUAAUUCUCAAAAGAUGAUCAUAAUAAUUUGAAAAAGAAAAAAAAAACAGAAUAAAUUGAAGCCAAAGUGAAGGUUUUUCUUUUUCUUUUUGGUUGGUGUAUAUAUAUGGUUGAUCUUUUUUUAUGAGCUUUAUCCUAUCUUUAUCUUAAUAAUAUUAUUAUUUACAGUUUUAUGUGAGAUUCUUUGAUAUAUAAUUUGAAUAGGAAGAUUGUUGAAAAGCUCUUCACUCAUGUUUUUCUCUGUCUUCCUUCACAUUUUGGCAAUCAAACUUUACGUACAAUUUAAAGCAUAUGUUUAUUACUUUUUCAUGAUUUUUUAUAAAUUUAUAUAAUUCAAGAAGAUAAGUUUAGAUACAUCACAUUUUAAUCUCUGGUUAAGUUUUUUUGUUUUUAAUUUAAUUACGAAGAAGAAUGGUAAUUUUUUCUAAUUGAGAUGAGAAAAGAAUUAAAGCAUAUUAAUUAAUAGACAUAUACCGAUCAUAUAAUAAAGAAGUUUUCAACACUAAAUGUCCUCUCCUUAGUUUUAAACUUUUAAUAUUGGAGUUUUUCAAAAUAUAUAUUUAGGGACUUUAAUUUGUUAUAUCCGUCCGAGAUUGGAGUUGUUAUACUCACAUCAACUCUCUUUAUUUAUUUAUUUAUUUAUAUAUAUAUAUAUAUUUUCUCGGUUAAAAAAUAUCAUCACGAAAAGAACAUACUCAAUUAAAUUCCUAACCACUCAUUGUUGUACUAAAAAAAAUUAUUCUUGUGCACUCGCAAAUUCACAUAAUUUGAGAUUCAAAUCAAUAAACUUCAUGAUACACAAAUUAAACGGAGAAGGAAUAUAUUAUGUUAUACAAAAAAAAAAAAAUAUGCCCUGAAUGAACAUUAGGAAUUAAAUAGAAGAAUUUGAUGAUGGAUCUGGAGGGUGUGGUAAUGUCCAAAUACUCCAUUGAUAGUCUGAACAUAAUAUAACUUAAAUACAAUAGAAUACAUCACAUCUUGCUUGAACAAAUAUAAAGGGUUAAAUAAUAUACAUCUAAUAUAAGGAAAUUAAAAUUAAAACACACACAUACAUAUAUGAGAUGAUAGAAGUGACGGAUGACGAAGAAUUACUGCUUUCUACGAUAUAACGUCUAUCACAGCUGAAAUCUGUGGAAUGAAAUUUCUAAUGAGAGCACCCUCUUUCUUCCCUUUUCUCCAUUGUGUGGUUGAAGAGGGUAAGGAUACAUAUUUUUUCGAAGACCUGUUGGUGGGGGAAUAGUCCUCUUGGUUCCCUUGUUCCCCCACCUGUUACGUUUAUACUCCAAAAAUCCCUCUUGUUUCUAAUCUCUUGAUUUGGUUAGGAAGCUUGUUUCCCUUUUCCUUUGGGUUUAGUCGCCAUCUAGCAGAGAAAGGCCAUACAAUUGGCCGGCACCAAAGAUAUGAUCAGGGAGUUUCUUCUUCAUCAACCCCACCGUGACAAGGAUUGUUGCUCGUGGUUGACAUGGGAGCGGGCUAUGAUCAUAUUAUUUUUCUCGAUUGACACGCUAGUAAUGUUUUUAUCUCUUUGGGUUUUCUGCAUGCCUUUCUAUUCUUUCAUGUAUUUUUUCUCAAUAAAAAUAGUUAAUUUAAUUUAAAUAAUCAAACUACACAGAUGGAUAGCUGCAAAAAAAUUUCACCAACUUCUUCCUGGGAACAGUUGCUAAGUUAGACUCAUAGGUUACAACUCAAUUCCCCCAACCCUACCCUCAUCUUCUAUAUUCACUGUAAGAACUCUUCACUCUAUAACUUAUGCCACAUUAUAAUAUGAAAAAAAGAAUCUCUUUAGAGUCUAGAAGCAUAAAUUAGGUUAAGUUUGAAGUAUUCCUAUGCAGUACAAUGUUGCAAAGACAUCUCAAAUAAUUCCUCCAGUGUCUUACACAAGGCUCAGUGGCAUGAAUUCCAGUCAUCCUAGUGAUUGCUAAUACUACCAUUUAAAGGCAUGACCUUAUAUCGGAGCAUGAAAUACAAUAAUGAAUAAAAUAGUACGUAUAGCCCACUGUAACAUGCUAUCGAGGGAAGAAAUUAAAGCUGCCAUCAAAGUCAUCGGCAUCGUGAACGACAGGUGCAGCAGCAGCGGCGGAAUCUUCCUGGGGCCUAUAUAUGGUUGAUAAGGAGAGAUCGCCCUCUUUUGUUUUGCAGAAGACCAGAUUAAACCUUCCAAAGAAGAGUCAUUUUUGCAUCUGCAAUCACCAAUGUCAGAGAGAACAAUAAACAGAGCCCAACAACUAGCGAACGCCUCAUGGUGUGUUUUCUCUACCGGAGUUGGUAGGAUUAUACUUCCAAUCCUUAUCAAGAUUAUCAUAUGCUUCAUAUAGAUCUUCCAAAAUGUUCGACACUUUACUCAAAAUCUGACUCGUAAGUGGCAGCAUCACCUUUUACCAGAUGCCGAAACACUUUCAGUUUUUCCUGUUCCAUUGUAACCAAAUCUUUGUCCCCAUGAUGGUAUGGCCCAAACAACACCAACUGUGGCUUGUACGCAUUCGGUUGGAUAUCUUUCAUGAACUUUGGAAUUUUGUAAAUGGAAGGUUUGAUGGUUUUUCCUGAUGAUCCGAACUCGUCCACCAGUACUAAUUCCGUCAACUGUUUCUCCAGAUUGUUCUUGACUUGAAUUACCACAUCUUUCUUGUUCAUUGGUAAUUGAUCUUUAUGUUCAUUUCUGCGAUACAUGGGCAGCAGCGUCUGCUCCUCUUCCACCUCCACCAUGUUUAAUUUCUUCUAAACUUUGCUCACCCAAAUUUUGCAC